GAUGAACGCUGGCGGCGUGCCUAAUACAUGCAAGUCGAGCGAACGGACGAGAAGCUUGCUUCUCUGAUGUUAGCGGCGGACGGGUGAGUAACACGUGGAUAACCUACCUAUAAGACUGGGAUAACUUCGGAAAACCGGAGCUAAUACCGGAUAAUAUUUUGAACCGCAUGGUUCAAAAGUGAAAGACGGUCUUGCUGUCACUUAUAGAUGGAUCCGCGCUGCAUUAGCUAGUUGGUAAGGUAACGGCUUACCAAGGCAACGAUGCAUAGCCGACCUGAGAGGGUGAUCGGCCACACUGGAACUGAGACACGAUCCAGACUCCUACGGGAGGCAGCAGUAGGGAAUCUUCCGCAAUGGGCGAAAGCCUGACGGAGCAACGCCGCGUGAGUGAUGAAGGUCUUCGGAUCGUAAAACUCUGUUAUUAGGGAAGAACAUAUGUGUAAGUAACUGUGCACAUCUUGACGGUACCUAAUCAGAAAGCCACGGCUAACUACGUG
rnacentral:rRNA from 1 species